rnacentral:lncRNA from 1 species
AGGACAUUCAAACUGACGGAGAAUGUGCGUCUGUCAUGUAGAGGUAUAACACAAUUAAGAAAGAAGUUUUCAAACUGACGGAGAAUAUGCGUCUGUCAUGUAGAGGUAUAACACAAUUAAGAAAGAAUGACAUUCAAACUGACGGAGAAUGUGCAUCUGUCAUGUAGAGGUAUAACACAAUUAAGAAAGAAGGACAUUCAAACUGACGGAGAAUGUGCAUCUGUCAUGUAGAGGUAUAACACAAUUAAGAAAGAAUGACAUACAAACUGACAGAGAUUGUGCGUCUGUCAUGUAGAGGUAUAACACAAUUAAGAAAGAAGGACAUUAAAACUGACGGAGAAUAUGCGCUGUCUUGUCAAUGUGAGAGAAGGUAGGUAUAACACAAUUAAGAAGAAAGGACUUUCAAAAACUGACGGAGAAUGUGCGUCUGUCAUGUAGAGGUAUAACACAAAUUAAGAAGAAGGACUAUCAAAGUGACGAGAAUGUGCGUCUGUCAUGUAGAGGAUAACACAAUUAAGAAAGAAGGAAUUCAAAGUGACGGAGAAUAUGCGUCUGUCAUGUAGAGGUAUAACACAAUUAAGAAAGAAGGACAUUCAAACUGACGGAGAAUGUGCGUCUGUCAUGUAGAGGUAUAACACAAUUAAGAACGAAGGACAUUCAAACUGACGGAGAAUGUGCGUCUGUCAUGUAGAGGUAUAACACAAUUAAGAAAGAAUGACAUUCAAACUGACAGAGAAUAUGCGUCUGUCAUGUAGAGGUAUAACACAAUUAAGAAAGAAGGACAUUAAAACUGACCGAGAAUGUGCGUCUGUCAUGUAGAGGUAUAACACAAUUAAGAAAGAA